GUCAUCAGUCACAAAAUAACCACAGAGGAUACAAAUCAACCUCAAAGAGAGUCAACACUGGUGUGCUCAAUGAGCUCAAUUGGAUUGCUCAGCACUUCUGCUAUGGAGAACAGGGGACGCUCAUAAGUUCAUGCAGUACACAGUGGAUGCCAUGCAAAAGUCCUGCUUACCUGGAACCAAUCGACAGGGAAAUUAGUCACCCAUUAGUCGAAUACCUCUAAGACAGACACCAUGUGACCGGGAAAUGGAUUCAGCUGAACCCGUGGUGACUCAUAUGGAUUCCCCAGUGGCUGUAAACAUUGACUCUGCACAACCAGCCAGGAGAUAACCACAUCCCAGAUCCACAGUGGGGCCUCUAAGCCAAGAGGUUCCCCCUUUUAGACCCAAAAUUUGCUCAAGGAACAUUGCAUCAUAACAAUGAUUAAUCAAUGUGUCCUACUUAACCC